rnacentral:rRNA from 1 species
AGGGCUAGCCUUGCGUAAAUAGUUUGUGGGGGUAGAGCUACUGAUUGUUCGCGGGCCCUUACCGGGGUACCAAGAACUAUUAAACUCCGAAUACCAUGAACCGUACCGCAGGAGUCAGACUAUGGGGGAUAAGCUUCAUGGUCGAGAGGGAGACAGCCCAGACCGCCGGCUAAGGUCCCCAAUCUGGACUUAGUGGUUUGAAGGAUGUGAUGUUGCAUAAACAGCCAGGAUGUUGGCUUAGAGGCAGCCAUCAUUUAAAAAGUGCGUAAUAGCUUACCCAUCGAGAGAAUUUGCGCCGAAAAUGAUCGGGACUAAGUACUACACCGAAUUUGUGGAAUUAGUAAUAAUUGGUAGGAGAGCGUUCCAACAUCGUAGAAGGCGGAGCGGUGAGCGACGUUGGAGAGGUUGGAAGUGAGAAUCUAGGCAUGAGUAACGAAAAGCAUGGUUAAAAUCCAUGCCGCCGUAAGGAUAAGGUUUCCUGGGGAAGGUUCGUCCGCCCAGGGUUAGUCGGGAGCUAAGGCGAGGCCGUAAGGAGUAGUCGAUGCACAACGGGUUAAUAAUCCCGUACCGGCUUGGUAAUGUUUGAGUUGCAUAUUGACGGAUGAGUGGAUGCUGGCGAGGUGAUGAACGUCCUCGUCUAAGGUGUUGGAAGGCACUGAUGGGACUUUGAGGCUACGGCCGAGGGGGAUCAGCAAUAGCUAAUUCCAGGAAAAUUUAUGCAAUUAAUUAUCAGGUUGCCCGUACCGCAAACCGACACAGGUAUCCGGGAUGAGUAUUCUAAGGCGCGUGAGUUAAAUCUCUCCAAGGAACUCGGCAAAAUGGCCCCGUAUCUUCGGUAGAAGGGGUGCCAACGCGAGUUGGUCUCAGUAAAGAGGCCCAACCGACUGUUUAUCAAAAACACAGCUCUCUGCCAAGUCGCAAGACAACGUAUAGGGAGUGACAUGUGACCAAUGCGGAAAGGUGAAAACUGCUUGUGAAAGCUUGUGGUCUAAGCCCCCGUGAAUGUCGGCCGUAACUAUAACGGUCCUAAGGUAGCGAAAUUCCUUGUCGGGUAAGUUCCGACCUGCACGAAUCAUGUAACGAGUUGGGUGCUGUCUCAGGGAGAAGCUCAGUGAAAUUGUAGUCGCGGUUAAGAUGCCGCGUACCCGCAGAAGGACGGAAAGACCCUAUGAACCUUUACUGUAAACUGAUAUUGUCGUUUGAUUUUUAAUACGUAGGAUAGCCGGGAGGCUAUGAGUUGUCACUCCAGGGUGAUGAUGAGCCGCAAUGUGAAAUACCGGUUUUUAACUAUUAGGCGUCUAACCACAUACCGUGAGCCGGUUGUGGGACAGUGUUAGUGGGUCAGUUUGACUGGGGCGGUCUCCUCCUAAAAAGUAACGGAGGACUGCGAAGGUUCCCUCAGACCGGAUGGUAAUCGGUCGUCGAGGAUAUGGCUAAAAGGGAGCUUAACUGUGAGACCUACAAGUCGAGCAGAUGGGAAACCAGGCCCAAGUGAUCCGGCGAUAGCUCGUGGGAGCGUCGUCGCUUAUGGGACAAAAGGUACUCUAGGGAUAACAGGCUGAUUUCGCCCAAGCGUUCAUAGCGACGGCGAAGUUUGGCACCUCGAUGUCGGCUCAUCACAUCCUGGGGCUGUAGAAGGUCCCAAGGGUUUGGCUGUUCGCCAAUUAAAGUGGUACGCGAGCUGGGUUCAGAACGUCGUGAGACAGUUCGGUCCUCUAUCCUCUGUGGGCGUUGGAAAUUUGAGGGGUUCAUUCCUUAGUACGAGAGGACCGGGAAUGACGUAUCCCUGGUGUUCCGGUUGUCGUGUCAGCGGCAGCGCCGGGUAGCUAAAUACGGAAAGGAUAAGCGCUGAAAGCAUCUAAGCGCCAAGCCUCUCCCAAGAUUAGAUUUCCAUGAGGGACCGGGAAGACGACCCGGUUGAUAGGGCGGGAGUGUAAGCGCAGUAAUGUGUUGAGCUAACCGUUACUAAUAACCCGAAAGUUUGUUCAC